GAUGAACGCUGGCGGCGUGGAUAAGGCAUGCAAGUCGCGGGAGGCUUCGAGCCUACCGGCGAAUGGGUUAGUAACACGUAGAUAACAUACCCCAGAGAUAGGGAUAAUCCGUCGAAAGGCGGGCUAAUACCUAAGGUCCGAGCCUAUAAUACUUUAUAUGUUCGGUAAAGGUUUCGAGCAAUCGUUUCUGCUCUGGGAGUGGUCUGCGGCCUAUCAGCUAGUUGGUAAGGUAAUGGCUUACCAAGGCAAUGACGGGUAGGGGGUGUGAGAGCACGAUCCCCAACAGAGGCACUGAGACACGGGCCUCACUCCUACGGGAGGCAGCAGUCGAGAAUCUUCGGCAAUGGGCGAAAGCCUGACCGAGCGACGCCGCGUGCAGGAAGAAGGCCUUCGGGUUGUAAACUGCUUUUAACCGGGAAGAACCUUCGGGUGACAGUACCGGUUGAAUAAGGGGGUGCUAACUCUGUGCCAGCAGCAGCGGUAAUACAGAGCCCCCAAGCGUUAUCCGGAUUUAUUGGGCGUAAAGGGUCCGUAGACGCCUCGUCAAGUUUCUUGUUAAAUCCUCAGGGCUUAACCUUGAAGCUGUGAGAAAAACUAGCGAGGUAGAGGGCGUUAGAGGCCAGUGGAAUACACGGUGUAGGGGUGAAAUCCGUUGAUACCGUGUAGAACACCAAAAGCGAAGGCAGCUGGCUGGAGCGACCCUGACGUUGAGGGACGAAAGCGUGGGGAGCGAAGAGGAUUAGAUACCCUCGUAGUCCACGCCCUAAACGAUGGAUGCUAGCUGGUGGGAGUGUCGACCCUUUCACUGGCGAAGCUAACGCGUUAAGCAUCCCGCCUGGGAAGACGGCCGCAAGGUU
rnacentral:rRNA from 1 species